rnacentral:rRNA from 1 species
AUUGAACGCUGGCGGCAUGCCUUACACAUGCAAGUCGAACGGUAACAGGUCUUCGGAUGCUGACGAGUGGCGAACGGGUGAGUAAUACAUCGGAACGUGCCUAGUAGUGGGGGAUAACUACUCGAAAGAGUGGCUAAUACCGCAUGAGAUCUACGGAUGAAAGCAGGGGAUCGCAAGACCUUGUGCUACUAGAGCGGCCGAUGGCAGAUUAGGUAGUUGGUGGGAUAAAAGCUUACCGAGCCGACGAUCUGUAGCUGGUCUGAGAGGACGAUCAGCCACACUGGGACUGAGACAAGGCCCAGACUCCUACGGGAGGCAGCAGUGGGGAAUUUUGGACAAUGGGCGAAAGCCUGAUACAGCAAUGCCGCGUGCAGGAUGAAGGCCUUCGGGUUGUAAACUGCUUUUGUACGGAACGAAAAGCCCCGGGUUAAUACCCAGGGGUCAUGACGGUACCGUAAGAAUAAGCACCGGCUAACUACGUGCCAGCCGCCGCCGUAA